rnacentral:rRNA from 1 species
AACGGGUGAGUAACGCGUGAGGAACCUGCCUCAAAGAGGGGACAACAGUUGGAAACGACUGCUAAUACCGCAUAAGCCCACGGUGCCGCAUGGCACAGAGGGAAAAGGAGCAAUCCGCUUUGAGAUGGCCUCGCGUCCGAUUAGCUAGUUGGUGAGGUAACGGCCCACCAAGGCAACGAUCGGUAGCCGGACUGAGAGGUUGAACGGCCCACAUUGGGACUGAGACACGGCCCAGACUCCUACGGGAGGCAGCAUG